rnacentral:lncRNA from 1 species
GUAUUUUCACUUAUCACAUACAUAUAUAGCUAAGUGAUCCCUCGUCAAAAGAAUAUUUCUUGUAUCAAAGUGUAUCGAAUUUCCUUUUUUUGCCCAUUUAUUUUAAAUUUUCUUGAGUUGAGCGUGAAAACUUAGACUUACAUAUUAUUGUAUAAAUAUUAUUGAGUAACUAUGGGAGAGAAUCAAGAAGAUCUUGAUUAGAGAAGAGAAGAUGUUUGUAAAUCAUUCUUGCAUUAUGUGUUAUAUAUUUAAUCAAGGAUUUACUGAUAAAGCAAGGGAUAUGAAUGAUACUUUAUUGUAUAAAUACGUUAUUUAUGAUGGAUGCUGAAGGACAUUAUGUCGAGGGAAGUUUAGACGCGUCAUGGAAUUAUCAAAAAUAUUGAUUCAUGCCCAAUCUUUAAUGUAUGUACAUACUGUUGUAGAUUCACCAUUAUUAGUUAAAAACACACUGAUAAAAGAGUCUCGACAAAACCCCGACUACUCUUAUCGAUUAGAAUACAUUGUAUCUCUAUAUAAAACUGGUUUGACUCAAAUAUAACUUCCAAUAUUUCGACAUGAACAAUAGCUUACUUUCCUUUGUUGAUCCGAGGGAUUCACUUAACUAGCGACCAAAGGGAUCAACGGAAUACUUUGCUCAUAGAAACAUAAAUAUUAUCUCAUUAUAAUAACAACAGAUUUAGUACUGUCUAUGUGAACUCGAUCAAUGUUAGCUAUUCCUUACAUGCUGCUGAGCUUAAAAAAUGGUAUCCAUAGAUUGUCUUUGUUUUUCACUUAUUAGAAGGUCGUUGUUUCCAUUUUAUUUCUGUACUGCUCAUUAAUGUCCUUCAAGGAUGAAUAAAUGUCUAAUUUUUUCCUAA